AUUGAACGCUGGCGGCAUGCCUUACACAUGCAAGUCGAACGGCAGCACGGGAGCUUGCUCCUGGUGGCGAGUGGCGAACGGGUGAGUAAUACAUCGGAACGUACCCUGAAGUGGGGGAUAACGUAGCGAAAGUUACGCUAAUACCGCAUAUUCUGUGAGCAGGAAAGAGGGGGAUCGCAAGACCUCUUGCUUUAGGAGCGGCCGAUGUCGGAUUAGCUAGUUGGUGAGGUAAAGGCUCACCAAAGCGACGAUCCGUAGCGGGUCUGAGAGGAUGAUCCGCCACACUGGGACUGAGACACGGCCCAGACUCCUACGGGAGGCAGCAGUGGGGAAUUUUGGACAAUGGGCGCAAGCCUGAUCCAGCCAUGCCGCGUGAGUGAAGAAGGCCUC
rnacentral:rRNA from 1 species